CCUCUAGAUGAGGAUCAUAUGAUUGCAUAUAUUGUAAAUGGCCUAGAUGGCGACUAUGAUUCUUUUGUAUCUGCAUUGGGGAUGAGGGUUGAAUCCAUCUCCAUAACAGAGCUAUAUGCCCAAUCGCUUAAUUUUGAGA
rnacentral:snoRNA from 1 species